AUACGGAGGAUCCGAGCGUUAUCCGGAUUUAUUGGGUUUAAAGGGUGCGCAGGCGGCCAUUUAAGUCAGCGGUUAAAUCGUGGGGCUCAACCCCAUUCUGCCGUUGAUACUGGGUGGCUUGAUUGCGGUCGAGGUUGGCGGAAUUCGUUGUGUAGCGGUGAAAUGCAUAGAUAUGACGAAGAACACCGAUUGCGUAGGCAGCUGACCAGACCGCAAAUGACGCUCAUGCACGAAAGUGCGGGGAUCGAACAGGAUUAGAUACCCUGGUAGUCCGCACAGUAAACGAUGAAUACUUGUUUUCGGCGAUAUAAUGUCGGAGGCAAAGCGAAAGCGAUAAGUAUUCCACCUGGGGAGUACGCCGGCAACGGUGAAACUCAAAGGAAUUGGCGUGG
rnacentral:rRNA from 1 species